CCUACGGGAGGCUGCAGUGAGGAAUAUUGGUCAAUGGACGAGAGUCUGAACCAGCCAAGUAGCGUGAAGGAUGACUGCCCUAUGGGUUGUAAACUUCUUUUAUAAAGGAAUAAAACGAGGCACGUGUGCCUGUUUGCAUGUACUGUAUGAAUAAGGAUCGGCUAAUUCCGUGCCAGCAGCCGCGGUAAUACGGAGGAUCCGAGCGUUAUCCGGAUUUAUUGGGGUUAAAGGGAGCGUAGGUGGGCUGUUAAGUCAGUUGUGAAAGUUUGCGGCUCAACCGGAACAUUGCAAUUGAUACUGGCAGUCUUGAGUACAGUUGAGGUAGGCGGAAUUCGUGGUGUAGCGGUGAAAUGCUUAGAUAUCACGAGGAACCCCGAUUGCGAAGGCAGCUUACUAAGCUGUGACUGACGUUGAUGCUCGAAGGUGCGGGUAUCAAACAGGAUUAGAUACCCCUGUAGUC
rnacentral:rRNA from 1 species